GCCCUCCUGUGGUGCUGUGGUUUAGUGCAUGUGGCUGUUAACCAAAAGGUUGGUGGUUUGAGCCCACCGAGGGACA